UACGUAGGGUGCGAGCGUUGUCCGGAAUUAUUGGGCGUAAAGAGCUCGUAGGCGGUUUGUCGCGUCGACUGUGAAAACCUACAGCUUAACUGUGGGCUUGCAGUCGAUACGGGCAGACUUGAGUUCGGUAGGGGAGACUGGAAUUCCUGGUGUAGCGGGUGAAAUGCGCAGAUAUCAGGAGGAACACCGGUGGCGAAGGCGGGUCUCUGGGCCGAUACUGACGCUGAGGAGCGAAAGCGUGGGGAGCGAACAGG
rnacentral:rRNA from 1 species